rnacentral:lncRNA from 1 species
UGGUGGAAGAAAUAUUACAUAGAUCUUUGCCGGUGCUGGAACUAAUUCUAUCUUUAAGGGUGUUUAUGGAUUCUUAUGGAUUUGGUACUCAUAGAACUCGUGGAAUGAUCAUACGAGCACCAACACAUAUACAUUUUUUAUCAAUACACUUCAUAGAUUUAGGAUACACACAAUCAAUAUUUUUUGGACAAUCGAAUUCAGUCUGGCAUUCAUCAUAUGCAUCAUAUGUUGCUGCAAUAAAAAAAGAUAAUACACAUAUGUCACUAAAACAAGAUAAGAGAUUGUGUAUGAAGGAAAUAAGAAAAUUUGAAAAAGGAUGAAAAUGAGUCUCUUAUAUAUUCUUCGGGGUCCCUUAUAUAUUCUGCACCACUGUAGUCCCUUAUAUAAAGGACCAGCGUUGUAUACCAUUUAAUAAAAUUAAGAAACCUAUAUGCACAUUUUUUUAAAUAAGGGACCAAAAUAUGAACCCUAAAGAAUAUAUAAGGCACCAAAAUGAUGUUUAAAACUAAAAAUGACAUACCAUUAACGUUCGUUGCAGCAAGAAAUAAGGAAACAAACAAAAUAAUAGCAUAAA